ACACCCACAGUGCGGCGCCCGCUGAUAGAACAGACUCAACUUUGAUGCCAUCUGUACAUUUCCAGUCCCAUCAUGACCAGUCACAUGGGGAAAUCUCUUUCAUUUGAGUGGUAUUGAUGUGGGUGUCCACGCCUUCCUGCUAGUUCCCUUCGCCAAGCUGCCUCUAGGGAUGCUGUGGUUUAUACCCCUGGGCCACCUAAACUGUGUAAAGGAUGGGACCUCUGAUCCAGCAAUGCUGUGCUGUGUGCUGCUAUCCUCACACUACUGAGUUGGACUGCUGAUAUAUCUGUGAAGUGUCUGCAAGUGGAUCGAGCUGCUGCUGCUGACCUGUGAACUGAGCUACUGAUUUCUUGACAAUGCAGAUGGGAUUUGCACCAAAGAACCAUUUCUAAACAGGUUUGACUUUCUAAUGUUGCAUCAUAUUCUGUCAACCUACAUUGUAUGCAAUUACUAAAAUUGCAGGGAAAGGAUGUUCUAGAAACUUGGAAAUGAGGAGAAGAUGAGCCAUUACUCUUAUUCACUUAGAGAUGUUAUAGCAUUUAAUACGUUUUUAAUAACAAAAGGCUUCCGUGACUGUGAGACAUGUCAGCUCCUGGCAGCACCCCCAUACGACUUCAGACAAGAUGAUGGGCAUCAAAGAACCUCCACAUAGAGUUUGAUUCAAAUGUGGCAAAGCUAGGCACUGGGCAAAAAAACUGUCCUUGUAUUGACUGUUGACAGCAUGUUGUCCAAGCUGUGGACAAACAGGACACUGGGAAGUCAAUUGAUUAACUUUGCAGAGUCAAGGUAGGCCAGUGCUCACAGUGCUUCACAGAUAAGUCUGUCAGGUACUCUGGGGCUUGCAGGCCAAAGAAAGAUGGAUGCCCCAGUGUUGCAGCGGAACCUUGGCUGACUGUCCAGGCAGCCAGCAGUCUUGGUCAUUUCUGGAGUUUUAGAUGUGGCUUGCUCUGUACUUCCUGUUUACUCUGGUAACAUUUAUCCUUCUCAAGUCUCUGAAGGGGUGGAAAGUUAGAUAGUUAGAAUCUCACAUUAAGCUGAAGUUGUUUAGGAUUUAAGAAAAUGGCUUAAGGUCUAAAAAAAGAUAUUUUUAGCUUGGUAAUGUAACUUAUAAUAGAAAGUGAUUAGGUCUAGAACUUUGAACUCACCAAGAUAAGAUAUAGAUUAAGUACAUUCUCCAAGGUUGCCAAAUACAAAUGAACUAGACAUUGUAAAUGUAAUCUUACCAGAUAGUUUUUAUAAUUGUCCUUAUUAUACAUAGUUUAUUUAUGUUAGAAAAAGUCUUUUCCUGGACAGAAACGGGGAGAUGUUGGGAAAAUCUUUUUGUGCACUGUGUAAAGGUUUCCUUUGUAUUAUUCAAAUGUUGAUUUCUGUGCCAGCAGAGAGCUGAGCACCAUCCAGACUUUGGUACUGUUAUUUUUUAUGAAGAGUCACCUGUUUCAGUGUUUUGUAAAAUCUUCUUCAUCAUCUUCCAAUUGGUUUAAUAAGGAGCUGAUGACUCGUGCACGCCUCUCAAGGCAGCAGCUAGACCAGACCAACUCUAUAAUUCCCUGAAGUCAUAGAACUGAGGACCACCAGUGUAGGGAUGACACCACCCACAAUGGGCUGGGCUUCCCCCCAUCAAUCCCUAAUUUUAAAAAUGCCCUACAGCUAUGUUUUAUAAAGGAAAUUUCUUCAAUUGAGAUUCCCUUCUUUCAGAUGUCUAUAACUUGUGUCAAUUUGAAAAAAAAAAAACUAGGCAUAAUGCUCAGGGUGUUUUAUUUUAGUAUUAACAUAUCUGGUUAGUAUGAGACAAGCUCUUGCUCUGUAGCUCAGGCUGCCUUGCAUCUAGAUUCUGCUGUUUCUCUUCUUCAUGUAAAGUGCUGGGUUGCAGACAUGUGUCAACCCACAGCUUAUACCCACCCUUUUAAGUAAUCCCAGGUACUGAGUGUAAGCGGCACCUAACACUAGUGUUAGGUGGAUGAGCCAGGCUUGGGAGAGAUGAAGGAGGAUGGGGCACAACUCUGUGCCCUCUUACUGUUAUCAGUGAUUCCAAACCCGGGCAUCCCAGCAGAGAAUGUUCAGUAAGUAAGGUAGACCUUCCUACCUAGAAAGCCUUGGUGAGAUUCCAGAGCCUGGGAAAUAGCAUAUAAGUGUCACAGGGUAAGGUAAGAUUAGUCAAUGUAGGUUGGAUUAGAUUGGCAGUCCUGGUGGGAGGUCAGCAAAGUUCACAUUGGACACCUGGAGUGAUAGACAUCAAGUGAAUAUGUAUACACAUACGUAUAUGUAUGUGUGUACAUUUUGGAUACUGAACCCUCCUGAGUAAGCUUUUGAUAAGAACCCAGAAAACAUAACCUUUACCUUGCAAACCAGCUCAUUCCCUUGCCCAAGGUGGGGUGCACAGGGGAAGAGAACCCGUGGAUUCGCAUUUCAGCAGUAGGAUAUGGGUCUAGGAACUGUGUGCCUUAGGGCCUGGAAACUUGCCCAGUGUCCUCCUGGAGGGCAAAAGGUUGUUCCUAUAGACAAGGGGGUGACAUUCAAAGCUCAAUGGCACCAUGAUGACAUGAUCAGUUUCAUUAUUAUCUGAGGGUCAGUAGCAGCAACAGUUCGAGCACAAGCCAAUGCAAAGUAGGGGAAUUGUCACAUCUGUCCUGUUUUGAACUUUGUGCCUGGCACCUUUGACCUGCAGGUCCAGCUCAUGAAAGCCCCUCUGCUGAGCAGACUUCUGAGUGAUGAGUGUCUUUUGUCAUUACUGACCCUCCUUGGGCUACAGGAGCCACCCCAUGAGUUUUGGUGUGGGUACUGAGUAGUGCACUUUCUCACACUGUCAUCUAUCAUCUCUACUAGGUUACUACUCCACUGUCCCUUGCCACCAGCCUUUUCAGCCUCUGUCUCUCUGACCCCAGUCCCCAUCUCCCCAACAUGCAGUGUUAGCAUGCACACAGAAGAGGAGAAGCAGGAGCCCAUAGGAUUCAGCGGUCAGGAAUCUGUUCAAGGUGCAUCAUUGUCUCCUGAAGCUGGGUUGCCAUUGCUGCACCACUUUCCAACAGGAAGAUAUGGCAGGCCUUGUCUGUGAGGGAAUUUGUACCACAGCUUUGUAAGCAGGCAGCUUGGUGGGGUAGGGCAGGAGUGCUGCACUGACUAGACAGAAGAGAGCCAGUUUUAGCAGGUGGAGGAAGCCAUAUCUGCUGAGUUUGUUCACUCUGUGGUCCCCUGGGAAGGCAGAGCAUGGCUUCUGAAGCCGUUGCAGAUACCAGCAACCCUUACCCACAAUCUAGAGUUUAUAAUCCUCACAUUUACAGGCAAAUGUUGGGUCUAUGUUGGAGAGCCUGGGGCAGAGAGCUGUAAUGACUGAUUCUGGUUUCUCUAAGUCCUGUGUGUUGAGCCCUCAGACUGAGAGGGGGCAGGCAUCCAACUUCUUACUUUAGGCCCUAGAGCUCAGGGCUGCUCCGAGAGUGUCCUCUAGGGCUUGGCUUGUUGUGUUUCCUUCUCAUUUGAUUCUACACAUUCCUAAAUUUCCUUCUUGAUUUCUUCAGUGACACAUGCAUGAUGUCCAACCCUCACAAGAUUGUAUGUGUUCUAUAGUUUCUCUUACUGCGGAAUAAAAGUUUUAUUCUACUGUGA